GUCACUUUUCCAGCCCUAAAAUCAGUGAAAUCGACUAAAUCUAAUCAAUGACAUAUUUAUUUUUCUUCCUUUGAUCAAAUGAAGCUGAAGAUUAGUUCAACCAAAAAUAGAAAUGUAGAGAAAAAAUACCCAGUAUUAGUGAAGAAUGACUAAACUCUGUCUCAAUCCAAGCAGGCUGAUCUUGAAACAAGGCUUACUGAAUCUGAAAACAAGAUUCCUUUGGAUGAGACUAGAACUGAUUUGAACAGUUAUUUUUCUCAUGUGAAGAUUUCCUGACUAUUGGAGACAAACAGAAGAGAAGGUUGUUGGAGAGAAGAUUACAGUGGAAACUUAAAGACUCUGAAAACAGGAGAAAUUCUCCAACACUUCUGGAUCUACGCUUGUUUUCUUGGUAAGAACUGAAUCGUUCUAAUAUCAUAAAUAAACCUCCUUUUCUCUCGCAGUCUUUAGUCUUUACAUAUUUAGCUCUUAUAUUCUGAUGCUAAUGAAGGCGGUUUAUGGCGGCGGUGGCGAUGGCGGUGGGGGAAUCAGAGUCUGUUUGUGUUUGUGAGCUUCUUCUUCUUCUUCUUCUCCAUUCUUCCUCUUUUCUUUCUCUCCUCUCCAAAUUACAGCUAUUAGGAACAGACGGGCGCCAGCCAAACACGCCGCUCCGCGUGAGUUACACACUCACACACACACACACACACACACACACACACACACUCACACACAGAGACGCACAAAAAGACGCGGAGACGAGAAGAUGUCCACCUCAACCGUGAGUUACACACUCACACACACACACACACACACACACACACACACACACUCACACACACACACACUCACACACACUCGGGGUUCGCCUUUAGCGUCUCCGAUGCUCGCUUUCAACGCCCGCCGUUGGCAGAAUUGGGUUUGACAGCUCGGGUCCAGGCCUGUGAUUGGCCGGCCUCCAGGGACCCUGUCAGAGGAGAGGUGUCGACCGCCAAAGCGUCAGGACAGGAAAACAAGGCAGGAAGUGGAGAGGAGGCGAGGAGGAACCCGGCUCUGAUUUCAUCACUAACAGAUUAACAGAAACGGCGAAAAGAACGCAGA